GGCGGCGAGGGGAGGCCGGCGAGUCAAGGAGGUCCGGCCGCGCGGGUGCGCGCCGUGCGCGGCUGCCAUUUUGGAGUCGGGCAGCUGCGACAGCGGCCGGGUUCGGCCGAAAAAGGGAGGAGCCAGUCAGGCACCCAGCUGCCCAUCCCAGGAAACCACAGUAGUAAAACACUGAGAACCAAGCUCCUCUCCCAGCUGGCAUGAAUAAAUACCAGGUGUAUUGGCACCGAGUUUUGCAGCUCCACAUCCAUCAAGAUGAGACCUUCUGUCCCCUCCUUUUGGCAAGAUACAAUUUCAAACGAAUGGGAAAAGGAAAUGCAAAGACCUUUGCCACCACCUCUGAAUCAAACUCAUUUUUUUCCCAUCUCCUGAGAACAGUUUCUCCUCAUCUAUAUAUUUAUUGCAUAAAUCUUUUCCAACUUCAUCCUUGACCUGCACACUUCCUAAACAUCAUUCUACAAUGUCUCCGGAAUUUGUGAGGGUGCUUGCAACGAACACGAAGAAGGAAUGCUCAGAAGGCAUGGCCUCGUGUUUAUUGAGCUCCUACUCAGUGCUGGGCUUGGCAUUUCCACUUAGGUUAGCUGACUCCAUCUACAGCACCCUCCAAGGUCCCUUUCAGCUAAGCUUUCUGAAGCAAAGUUAGAUCAUUGGAACGAUGACACAAGGCCCAGUGACACCGUACAUUCCAUCAUGGCUUUGCCACAUUUGCCCAUGUGAGAAAUGACGCUCCCAAAGGCAUUACCAGGCCUGUGUGAUCUACUUCCAAAGGGGAGUGAUUGCCUAGUCAACUAUAUUGGUUGCCUGUUGCCGGGUAACAAGCACCCCCAAACUGGAAUCUCAAAACAGCAUUCAUCAUCAUUCUUUCUCCAGGUGCAGUUCGGCCGGCUUCGCUGCUUCACACUGAGGCUCUCUCAAGAUUGCAAUUCUGGUGUUUGCUGGAAUGCUGCAGUUAUCCAAAGGCUCCGUUGGCUCAGGAUCAGUGUUCCAGUGCACUUUUGCUCCAGUCCUCCACAAGCUAUUGGACCCAGGACCCCAGUUCCUUGCUGAUUGCUGGCCAGAGGUUGCCUCGGUUCCAUGCCAUAUGCCAGGAAGACCUCUCUCCAGCUCCUACGAUAUUGCAGCCGGCUUCUCUCCAAGCCAAAGUGGAAGGGAAAGCCAAGACAGCAUGAAAUGAAGAUGGGAAGUCACAUUGGCAGAAAGAUCGUUUCUCCUGUAAUAAAUGUCACUUCCUGGGUCCUAUCCCCCAUUCACUGAGAUGCUGGCAAAUGACGACAAAUUUGAAAAAAGAAAACAAAACAAAAAACAGAAAACAAAGCAACACCACCAACAACAAAGCAGUUGGCUUUUAAAACACACAAAGAAAACACAGGUAUACUUUUAAAAAUAUAAAAGCAUAGAAAAUCCUCACAUUUGAGCCCAUCCCCAGUCCUAUUCUAUCUUCAGAGGUAGAGUGUAGCGGUUUCUUAGGUAGCCUUCCACAUGUAGAUGUUGUCUUCUCCUUCUCACAUUUGGUAUAUAAUAACGUUAUAUACUUUGCUCCUUUUAUAUCUAACAAUAUGUUUGGAGGGCUGGCAAUGUAACUUAGUGGUAAAGAAUGCUUACCUAGCAUACUCAAAGCCCAGGCAGGGUUCAUCUCCAUCACCACACAUGUAAAUGGUAUGUUUGGGUAGCCAUAUAGACCUGCUUCAAUUCCCAUGGUGCCAAAAUAUUCCAUUGUAUGGAUGUAGCAUGAGUUAUUAUUCAGAGUCCUUAUCUAGUAGGAAUUUGCUUCUACGCCCUCUCAAUUCCUUAGCCAUUAUAGUGGACACACUCACCUUUGUGCGUUUGAAUAGGUUUAUCUUAUUUUUAAAUCUUUUAUUAUUUUAUGUUUGUGGGUGUUUUCACUGCAUUUGUGUGUGUACCACAUGUGCCUCUGGUGUCCAUGGCCAGAAGAGGACACAAGAUCCUAGAAAUAGAGUUACAGAUGGCUGUGAACCUCCAUGCAGGUACUGGGAAUCAAACCCUGGCCCUCUAGAAGAGUAGCCAGUACUCUUAACUGCUAAUCCAUUCUCCAGCCCCUGGGUUUAUUUUAUAGGCAGAUCCUUAGUCACAGACAUGCUGGCUAAGGGUUGUGUGAAUUUAAAGCCCCUUUGUGAAUGAAAUGAAAUAUAAAUGUCUAAACAAAACAAAUAUGGAGUUUACUGGGUUGUUCUAAAGCCUCCCCAGCUCAAGAACCAGAACUGCUGUUGAGUACAUCCAAAGCUUUCUUUGUGGUCUGUGGUGAUCCAAACUGUUUCCCUCGGCCCCAAACUCACCAUUUACUGGCUUUGGGAAUCACUUCCUUCCAUUGAUUUUGUGGCUUUUUGGUCCAACUAACAUUUCUAAAAAGGUUAGUUUCUCUUUGCCAGUUUUUAAAAAACUUUGAUGUCUUUGGAAUCUUUUUGUGCCCAGGGUUCCCCUACACACUUUCCCAAACAGUUGAUCCGUGGAAGCCCCUAGAAGCUGGAGUUUGAGCUACAGCUUCCUGCCCUCAGUAUUAGCCUGUCCACUUGUCCCUGGUAUGGUUUAACAUGCUUCACUGUCCUCUGUAUUUCCUGCAAAUACAGAGCAUUUAUUUAUUUUUUUAUAAUAAUAUUUAAAUAAGUAAUAUUAAUUAUUAUUCCUGCAAAUACAGGGCAGAGGGGUUGAAAGCUUGCUGAGACUCAGGUGUGAUCCCCUGGCAUGGCCGCAAUGGUGGUCCACUGAGAAGCACAUGGCGACUGGUUGUCUCUUUGUAACUUAAGUAGAGGUUGAUGCUAACUGCCUAGGUCUAUUAAUUCACCGAGGGCUAUAAACUAUUCUAACCUGUUACUUCUUAAUUUACUUGCUACAAGAAUUCUUUAAAACGAUGCAUCUCUCCCUCUGUUGUUUCUUUAACCAGGGGUGCAUUUUUAAAUGCCUGGUUCAUUCCCCAUGUUUACAUGUUAACAGUUAAUGAACGUUUUCUUUCACUGCUCAAAGCUAACUUGGUUUAUUUGUCUUGAACUUUACAUAUAUGCACGUGUUCACACAUGCAUUUGACAAGUUUUAUGGCUUCCAAACCACCUGCAGAUUGGCAUGUCUCAUGUCUGGCUUAGUCUCUUCCACUGGCCCUUGAAUCCUUUUGAGAUGACCCAGCAUUCUCGAUGGCCUCCUCACUAUCUGAUAUGACUCGGUUUUAGGAUCACCUUCGACCUCUCACACCACAGACCUGGAAUCUGCUAUUUUCCCGACACUCCCUGGUUUCUUAUGUGGGAAAUAGUAUUUCAAAGCCGAAUUUCAGACACAAGGAAGACUCAUGGGAACUCAACUCCCUGAAUCUUACAUAUUGCAAAGGGGAAUUGCUGAGCAUUCCUGGAAGAAGUUGUAUAGCCUAUGCAUUCUCCUUCUGAAGCAAAGUCUGGGAACAGGUACCAAAGAGCUUGAUUCCUUAAGAAACCAAGUCAUCUGAGAAGGACAGCUGUUUUUAUUACCCCUCUAUUUCAACAAGCUUCUUGUUAACGGUGCUCAUCCCUGCCCUUGCUGCUGACACAUGAUGUUCUUUUUCGGAAUCUGACUAACCAGGACAAAAAUGAACAGGGAAGAGCCAAGAGCAAAGGAUAGACACGAUGCUUCUGGAGAGGAAAAGAGGCUCAGCCUAAGUUUCAAGACUCGUUAUUAGUAGCAAUUGUGUGGCUUUUCUUUUUGUCCAGCUAGUGGACAAAGACUUUAAAAGACAGUGCUAAACAAACACUCUUUUGUAACCCAGGAUUUAUUGUUCUGUGUGCGUUUGGGUACAUACAAGAAGGAAUAUGAUGAUGAAAAGAACUGCAUGAAGCAAUAGAAAUUACAGCUUUGUUAUUAGUGCAGGGAUAGACUAGCACACAAUAGAACAGAUGAGAGAAUGCAGAACAGACCACACCUGUACACUAGAUGCUAGAGGCAGUUAUAGGGGACAGUGGCUAUUUUGAGUGGUCCUGGGAAGCUUGUUUCCUUGAACAUGGAAAAAAUAAAAUGGAGCUCUACCAUAUACAAAGAAUAAAGA